rnacentral:rRNA from 1 species
AUACGUAGGUGACAAGCGUUAUCCGGAUUUACUGGGCGUAAAGAGCUCGUAGGUGGUUUGUCGCGUCGUAUGUGAAAGCCCGCGGCUCAGCUGCGGGACUGCAUUGGAAACUGGUCAUCUGGAGUGCAGGAGGGGUACGCGGAAUUCCUAGUGUAGCGGUGAAAUGCGUAGAUAUUAGGAGGAACACCGGUGGCGAAGGCGGCUUACUGGACUGUAACUGACGUUGAGGCUCGAAAGCGUGGGGAGCAAACAGGAUUAGAUACCCGGGUAGUCCACACUGUAAACGAUGAAUGCUAGGUGUAGGGGGUAUCGACCCCUUCUGUGCCGCAGUCAACACAAUAAGCAUUCCGCCUGGGGAGUACGGCCGCAAGGUUGAAACUCAAAGGAAUUGACGGGG